CAGAAGUGAUUGAUAUUUAAAAAUACUAUGUAUUGUCUAUCCGGAAAAAAAUUAUAACGCUUUUUAUACCGAAGUUGGAUUUUUCUCCAGGUACAGGCAACUUUCCCAACUUCGGAAGUAGUGCGCUGGAUUCACAUAAAGAUGCGCUAAACAACGCAUUAAUUAGUUUGACAGAUAAAACUUCGGAAGAAAGUUCGGUUCGGAAGUCCCGACUUCCGAAUUCUAAUUUGGUGCUACGCCGACAAUAUAAACAUUACGGAAGUUGUGCUUCCUUCAAAGUCGGUGAGAUUCGGAAAUGGUUCCUGCCGGAAAACUGGACACGAGACUGGACGUCCGACGAUGAUGGUAGAAUUUUGUUGAGCCGAAAACUUUGUUUUGCAAACAUGAACACUAUCCCGCACAGAGAACCAUGGCUUUGCAACUGGUUCCCGACAAACCAAAACCAUCUUCCCCAGAAAUGUAUCACGAGGGGAAACAUCGAGGGAAACAUACCAUUUGCGGACGGAGAAGGUGGAAGCUGAGAUCGUUUGCAGAAAGCCGGAUGGAUGACGCCGGCUGAAUGGGCCCCAAAGUUGAAUCGAAAUGUUUCGGAAAAUGAUAAUUAACUAAUAAAUUAUUGCCUAUGUUCUAUAAA